rnacentral:rRNA from 1 species
UGGCGGACGGGUGAGUAACGCGUAGGAAUCUGCCUGACAGCGGGGGACAACCUGGAGAAAUCCAGGCUAAUACCGCAUACGCCCUACGGGGGAAAGAUGGGGAUCUUCGGACCUGUCACUGUCAGAUGAGCCUGCGUUAGAUUAGCUUGUUGGUAGGGUAAUGGCCUACCAAGGCGACGAUCUAUAGCUGGUCUGAGAGGAUGAUCAGCCACACUGGGACUGAGACACGGCCCAGACUCCUACGAGAGGCAGCAGUGGGGAAUAUUGGACAAUGGGGGCAACCCUGAUCCAGCAAUGCCGCGUGUGUGAAGAAGGCCUUAGGGUUGUAAAGCACUUUCAAUUGGGAAGAAAAGCUCUGGGUGAAUACCCCGGAGUCUUGACGGUCCCAAUACAAGAAGCACCGGCUAACUCCGUGCCAGCAGCCGCGGUAAU